UGUGGAACAGGCUAUUUAAUGGUGGAGUUAAGAGUGUUUAGGGGCUACCAUUUCAUUGAAGAGGAUGCAGGAUAUCACACAAAAUGGCAAGAGAGGAUAGAUCCAUUGAUGUCCACAGCCUCUACUCGUUUUUGCUCUAUCUGGUGCGACUGUUCUGAUGACGGAACAGGCAACUGAUUGUUCUGCUUUCUACUUUCCUCUACACACUCUUCAAUACUUGGUACCAACUUCUUGCUCGACCUUUCCAGUGGCUCCAUGUUUCUUUUCUUUCUUCCCCUUCUCCAUCACAUUAAUCUCGUUUUUUUUUUUUUUUUUUUUUUUUUUUGAAGACUGAUAUGGUGAUGUGACGAAGAAGGAGGUAAUACAUGAUCGUUCUGAGUGCCACUGGUGGUUCUGAUUUCGCGACCAUUCUGGUUCUCCACCCCUGCUCUUGCGCAGUUCAUUGGUUAUGGAGCGGUUGCUCCCUUAAUCUGCUUGUUCUCCUUUCUUACUGAAUUUCUGCAGCAGUAACGAGUAGGAGGCUGCGUUGAUCCUUUCCUCUCCGACCUUUUUGCACAUAUCUGCACAUAUGACACUGAAAAACAAAUGCAUGAAGGUGAAAUAAAGGCUAAGGUGCAGGGUGGGAACUAGCUAAAGAUGAGCUAGCCACUCAGGAUCAGCAAGAUGGAUAAAAAGGAUAAGAAGUCCUGAGUGUGUUCUCGUUUCCCUGAUCUAAUGCCCAUAACAAGAAGAAUUUCAGUCAAGAUUAGGUUCAAGUAAGGUGGAGUUAAGUCUACCCAGUGUAACCUGAUCGGCUGAGAACUUCUGGAGAAUCAAGUGAGAUAUGUCAGGGUGUUCCAGGUCCACAUGUGUGUCUUUCGCCACUGCUAAGGUCACUGAAUAAGAUAA
rnacentral:lncRNA from 1 species